AUGCCCGUAGUUGGAUCGCGAUGGCGCACGGGGGGCAGCUCAAGGUGGACUCACGGGAGCACGAGGAGGACUCGCGGGAGCUCGAGGAUGAUGAGAAGGAGCUCCUGCUCCACCGGAUCGUGGUGGCAAAUUCCGGCGAUGCCCGCAGGUAAUCACCAUGGGAGGGGAUCGCGGCGGCGCAGGUCUUGGCGGCGGUGGCGGAGCAAGUACUUGGCGACGGCGGCGGCAUUAAAGGUACGUGUCGGCGGAGGCGGAACACUUCCUGGUGGGCGGCAAUCACGCAGCUUGGCGGCCGCGGCCCCUGGAGACGCACGGGCGACGGCGGAGGAAGAAGACAGGGGUGGAGGGACUUGUUUGCGAUGA
rnacentral:rRNA from 1 species